GAUGAACGCUGGCGGCGUGCCUAAUACAUGCAAGUCGAGCGAACAGACGAGGAGCUUGCUCCUCUGACGUUAGCGGCGGACGGGUGAGUAACACGUGGAUAACCUACCUAUAAGACUGGGAUAACUUCGGGAGACCGGAGCUAAUACCGGAUAAUAUAUUGAACCGCAUGGUUCAAUAGUGAAAGACGGUUUUGCUGUCACUUAUAGAUGGAUCCGCGCCGCAUUAGCUAGUUGGUAAGGUAACGGCUUACCAAGGCAACGAUGCGUAGCCGACCUGAGAGGGUGUUCGGCCACACUGGAACUGAGACACGGUCCAGACUCCUACGGGAGGCAGCAGUAGGGAAUCUUCCGCAAUGGGCGAAAGCCUGACGGAGCAACGCCGCGUGAGUGAUGAAGGUCUUCGGAUCGUAAAACUCUGUUAUUAGGGAAGAACAAAUGUGUAAGUAACUAUGCACGUCUUGACGGUACCUAAUCAGAAAGCCACGGCUAACUACGUG
rnacentral:rRNA from 1 species